rnacentral:lncRNA from 1 species
GAUGCUGGUGAAAAGGCCGAGAAACCAGACACUAAGAAAAAGAAACCUGAAGUAAAGAAAGAUGCUGCCAGUGGCAAGGUGAAGAAAAAGCACCCCAGGGCCAAAAAUGCCCAAUAAGGGAAAGCCCCGCUGCAGCUGAAACCCUGUCUUGGAAGGAUCAACAGAUAUUCCUAAUCCGAGGAGUGCCCUGUGGAAGAGGAAGUGUUCAGCAGCUAAAUGCAGGAUUGAAAAGAAGAAAGGAGACGGUUCUUGCCACUUUCACAAAGCCAGUUUGUGGUAACAAGAAUGGUGAUCCCCCAGUGUGUAAGCUUGGCCGUAUGCCUACUUAUUAUCCUACUGAACAUGUGCCUCAAAAGCCAUUGAGCCUUUACAAGAAACUGUUUCAUCAGCAUGUGAGAAAACAGAGAUUGUGUCACUUCCAGGUCCCCUCUGUUUUCCCUCAUUUGUCACCAAAGAAGCCAAAGGAUAGCUUUCCUGAGGCAACUGAGCCACUUGUUCAUUGUGAUUGGACCUCUGGUCCUCAAUUGAGCUUCUCUGUGUUGAACACAACAGAAAUUUGUCACUGCUACCUCCAGCAAAAUUAGUGUAAAAAUCCCAAUGUUUCUCACCGAUGCCUACUUGAAGAAGAAGCUGCAUAAAGCCAGAGACCAAGAAGGUGAGAUCUCUGACAUAGAGAAAGGGAAAUACAAGGUUACAGAGCAGCGCACGAUCCAUCAGAGCAUGCUGGGCUCUCAACUGAUGCCAAAACUCAAAGCUGUUCCUCAGCUCCAUGGCUGUCCGUGUUCCAUGUUCUUUCUCGCGAGUGGAGAUUAUCCUUACAAAUUGGUG